rnacentral:sRNA from 1 species
CUUCUCCUGCAAUACUGCCCAGGACCCAGUGCUCUCAGUAGACUGUCACCACCUUGUUUAUACAUGGUGCUGAGGGACGGGAGACUUUGAGAACCCAGUAACGAAGCAUGGGGUUGAGGUGGGGUGCUGAGGUUCAGGCAGAGGACUGCGGCACUUGGGCAGAAAGUGGUGCAGACACUGAGGCCCGGGGCAGCCAACGAGGCCGCUGCAGCUAGCACUCAGCUAAUCCGGCUCAGGGCCAAGCUGAGGCCAGGAGCUGGCACUGGUGUUGCAAGCUGGCCACUGUGCAGUGUAAGCUCUGCACCGCAAACUCGGGGUGGGCUUCGCAGACCCGCCCCUGCCUGCCUAUCCAUUCUAGCCUUGCCCAACGAGGCCAAGAGACCCGAGCUAGCAACUGCUUACAGAUUCCCGGUAGGGACCCGGUGGCUUUCUUAAAUGACUGUGAUUGGCGAAAGAAUCAACUCUAAAAAUCAGACUACUUGAAGAGUCCCGAGGGGCCUGCCCUACCUAGUCAGCUCCAGUUAAGCAAAGAAAGGAUUGGUUGGGGGAUGGGAGGAUGGGCGGGGCUUCCUGCUGCUCCGGAGAAUUCCACCCUGGGAACAGAAAGUGCAGCUCCUCCUAACUCCCACAACCCAGCUUUUAAAAGAAUUGUUACCACAACCCGACUCAAAGAGCCAAUUCCCCGCAAUCGUGUUUGCAGAAACUCCUGUCCUUGUGAAUUACAGAACUCUUUAUGCCCAGAAUUAUGAAGGAAUUUGGUGAUUAAAUGAAUUCUUUUUUCUCUUCACACUGUGCAUGGAUAUCUGUGCACAGUGUGAAUGCAGAUCCUUCAAAACCCAGAAGAAUGCAUCAAAUCCCCUGUUACUGGAGUUACCAACAGUUGUGAGCUGCCAUGCGGGUGCCUGGUCCUUGAAGAGAGCUUUGACUGAACCACCUCUCAGUCCUCAGCUACUUCUCCCAUUGACUCCCAUGUGUGCAUCCUUCUGUCUCUUCUUAACUUCUCUUUUACCACCUUAAUCCAUGGGCCUAGGGACUGAAUAUAACAGGAAAGAACAGUUGCGUGGCUUUCCUUCUUUUCAUAGAGAUGCAGAAGCUUAAAACAUUCUCAUCUACUUUGAUCCAAGGAAGUCUAAUAAAAAUCUAAGGAAAUAACCUCAGAAAUAUUUAGUGACAUCAGUAAUGGUAGAGAAAACAUCAUGGGAAACAAGCCCGCCAGGGUGAAAGGAAAGGUUUAAAUGAAUGGGGGAUGUCUGUCCAUAAGACAGAAUGUGGGUAGCAGUGGAUGUCCUAGUGUGUGUCCACACACACCAGCUACAUAAUGGUUGAUUGGUUAACAGUGGACUCUCAAGCAUUAAGGAAAGAUUCACCGAUAAAGAAAAGUACAGAAGU